ensembl:lncRNA
GCAAAAUAUAAAAAGAACCUGGUUUAUAUGACCAACCUGAACGUGCCAAUUAAGCUAACUAGCAGCAGCUUAUGCAAUUGUUUUGCAUCUGGGAAGUCUCCAGAAAGAAAUGGACUCAGAGGAGUAAAAGUGUUUAUAUAGCACUGGCUCAGAUAAUGUUAGGUCAGCUGGGUACCCAAGCCAAACGUCCUCGCAUCACAGUCCUCAGAACAGCAAGAACCUGCCAACCGUGGUCUGGACCAGCUCCCUGUCUUCAGGAAGGGGCCUCUGCCAUUUAACUGCUGAAGUCAUUGCAUCACCGAGACAUCAAACAAACAAACCCAAGUCCCCUACAACUGAGUAUUUCAAUUAUUGCGCAGACCUUAGGAAAUUCUCUCUUUAAAGAUAAAGGAUGAAAAUAUCAACCUCACUUUAAGGUCCCCAUCAGAACCAUUGCGUGUGCACAGCUCCCAGAAUGGCUUUUCCCAGUCACAGAUCUCUGCACUGCACCUGCUCGCUGAAAACACUUCAAUGGCUGCCCGUUCCCCCAGCAAAGAUAAGGACCAUGCUUAUUAGCCUGACUAAGGAGGUCCUUGGUGGGGUAGGCCCUAGCCUAUCUCUCCAGCCUCAUUUCUUGUUCCUCCUUCCUACACUAUACUACAGACUCAUCAACACAGAUGGUGCCCACGCUUCUCUUCUUUGCCUAGAUUACCAUUUCUCAUCCUCCUUUCACCCACUAACUUCUACUCUGAAACUCAUGCCAAGAAUCUCUUUCCCUAAGAAACCACCUAUGACCUCCACACCCCCCAUCCUUCUUAAACAGAGAUUUCUUUGUAUUUCCCCUCCGGGGUCCUGUAAUCCUCUAUGGAGACCAUCGCUGCAUUUUGGCUUAUAAAGAAAUAACUUAUUUUCAUGUUUGCUCCUCAAUUUACUAAGAAAUUUCAUUUUAUUUUGUUUUGUUUUUAAAAUUAAGAUUAUGUCCAAGUCAUUUUUAAUCCCUAACAUCUAGUAUUGCAUCCAGUAUAUAGAUGUUAAAGAAAUGUUUGCUGAAUACGUGGAUGAAUGAAUGAAGGAAAUGGAUUGGAAUAUGUCUCUGGGCUUUCUACUUAUGAUAAUUCAGAAGUUUGAUUCACGUUCAUGCCCGGAACAUCUUGCCAGAACAAAUUUCCUUCCCCCCUUAUGGAUAUUUUGUUGCUUUCAUAGUGAGCUCCAUUCCAACGAGCAGCCGGAAGAAUUGUAAGAUGAAUGCCUUGAACUAGAACCCACAGGAACAAGGAGCUGGGCAAGAGCCAUUGCGGCUGGUCCAGCUAAUCCUGGUGGACAGCUCUGCCUGCAGUGACAACGAGGCCACCCAGGCUGUCGUCUGAUGUGGCCAGGGCAGGCUCAAGCCUGGGUGGUCAGUCUCUCUGGUUGGCCGAGGUGUGGGUGUAUGGGAAUCCGCUCCUUGCCCACACAGCCCAGGAUGCUGGUCUUGCCCCAGGCAGACUAGGGAGAAGACAAGCCCACUCCUCCUGGGAGACCGAGCUGUUCAGGGCCUUUCCAGGUUUUCCAGGACCUCAGAGGCACAGCCAGAAGUUGACUUGAGAGCUAAAGGGAAAUGGAAAAAAUGAGUUUCAGAGAAUAAACAGGCAUGCUAGAGGUGUCAUUUCUUCCAACGUCCUCACUUACAGGUGAGGAAACUGAUCUUAACCUGGGAAGGCGGAGUCGGGGGGGCAGGAUGGGGACACGACUUUUUAUUGUCACUCAGCAAGAGAGCUUCAGGUCAUUUACCUUGCACUGAAAAGAGAAAGGAGGCAGUGUGCCAACUCCUGAGUGUCCACCACUCCUGGUCCUGGGAAGUUCGCACUGUCACAUGCUCCCAGCCCUCCCCUCCCUCACUCCACCUCCAUCCUCCACCCCCAGUUCCUGCCCCUCAGUCAUACUGCCUCGUUGACUGAGCACCUACCUUAUAUACG